AUAGCUGCACAUAUAAUUUUCUAGGAGAUAAGAAAGAUGUAAGUAAUGCAGCAGGUGAUAUUAUUGAGAAGAUUGAGAAAGAGUCAGCGGAGAAUUUGGAGAAAGAGUCAGCCAAGAAUAUGGAGAAACAGUCAGCUGAGAGUAUGAAGAAUGAGUCAGACUACAAAGCGUGGCACAAUGAAAAGGAAAGCUUAGAAAAGUGAGAUGGUACCACCGAAUAAAGAAACCUAAAAUAGAAAAAGGAAAGGAAGGUGAAGAAAUGCACAGUUAAUAUUGUUGCUGUUGGUUGUGCUACAAAUAAUGAAUCUGCUGCAAAUAAUGAAGCAACAAGCUUCAACACUGGAGAUCCUUCUAAGCAUAUUAGUAUCGAAGCAAGAAAACCUUCAGAGAGAAAAGAGGCAGAUUCCAGUGAAAGAAUUCUUUGUCAUAGCCCUCCACCACUUCCACCACCACUUGCACUGGUGGAGCUUAAAACUCAAGCUGCAUGUAGUACAGAAACAGAGGUUAUAUACUGUCUCUAAUUAGAAGAAUGGAAAUUUUAGAAGAACAGAGUAUCAUGGUGCCAUCCCAAUUGGGUUGCUUAACAUACCAUUUCUUUGGAAAUACUAGCCCGGCAUGAACACAAGGGCAGGUACUCUGCUACAUACAUGAACAGUAAUGGAAGUACUCCUAGUGCCCCAUCUGCUUGUAAUCUACCUCAGCAUACUGAUCCAGUAACUCCAACUAAUGAGCCAGUAAAGGCAAUCAUCACCAAUACUACUGUGCACACUGGUAAUAGAAGGAAAAUAGAUUUUAAUGCUCCUUUGUUGAAUCCUGAUACUGUGAUUAAUAAAUAUCCCAAAC